rnacentral:rRNA from 1 species
ACAGCAGUCGCCGCGGUAAUACAGAGGGUGCAAGCGUUAAUCGGAAUUACUGGGCGUAAAGCGCGCGUAGGUGGUUUGUUAAGUUGGAUGUGAAAUCCCCGGGCUCAACCUGGGAACUGCAUCCAAAACUGGUAAGCUAGAGUAUGGUAGAGGGUGGUGGAAUUUCCUGUGUAGCGGUGAAAUGCGUAGAUAUAGGAAGGAACACCAGUGGCGAAGGCGACCACCUGGACUGAUACUGACACUGAGGUGCGAAAGCGUGGGGAGCAAACAGGAUUAGAUACCCCCGUAGUCCCUGUCUCUUAUAA